rnacentral:rRNA from 1 species
UAGGGAAUCUUCCGCAAUGGGCGAAAGCCUGACGGAGCAACGCCGCGUGAGUGAAGAAGGUCUUCGGAUCGUAAAACUCUGUUAUUAGGGAAGAACAAAUGUGUAAGUAACUAUGCACGUCUUGACGGUACCUAAUCAGAAAGCCACGGCUAACUACGUGCCAGCAGCCGCGGUAAUACGUAGGUGGCAAGCGUUAUCCGGAAUUAUUGGGCGUAAAGCGCGCGUAGGCGGUUUUUUAAGUCUGAUGUGAAAGCCCACGGCUCAACCGUGGAGGGUCAUUGGAAACUGGAAAACUUGAGUGCAGAAGAGGAAAGUGGAAUUCCAUGUGUAGCGGUGAAAUGCGCAGAGAUAUGGAGGAACACCAGUGGCGAAGGCGACUUUCUGGUCUGUAACUGACGCUGAUGUGCGAAAGCGUGGGGAUCAAACAGGAUUAGAUACCCUGGUAGUCCACGCCGUAAACGAUGAGUGCUAAGUGUUAGGGGGUUUCCGCCCCUUAGUGCUGCAGCUAACGCAUUAAGCACUCCGCCUGGGGAGUACGACCGCAGAGGUUG